CAGGGCUUUAAGAUUCUGAAACCCUAGAAUCUCAAUGUCAGUGCCACCGCUACCGCCACUGCCAUUCUUCUCCUUGCCGUUGUUAUCGUCAUUGUCUCCUUCGUCAACGCAUCACCGGUAGAGUUAUGAAUGGAGGACGAGGUGAUCGUGGAGCCUCUCAAUUCGUGAAGCUUUCCUUAGAUCUUCUGCUUCUGCGUCGCCUUCCACGAUGGGUUCUUCCGCUAGUUUUUCCUUUGCUCCGGUGGCUUGAAGCACUCAGAGAGCGGUUUUGAUGCGGACCCGGUGGGACUGGCUGAGGAGAUCUGGAAGGCGAGCGAGCGGGAGUCUCUAGAAGCUUCGAUUGAAGCUGCGUUCGAAGCUAUCAGAUCUCGUAGAACUGAGUCUUAUGUCGUUCCAAGUCAUUGCGAUUUCUAUUUCUGCACCUCUUUUGUGAUUUUGUGAACCAAAUUGUGGAAAAUGCAAGAAUUACAAUCCUUAACUCAAGCUUCUCACAACUUCCAAAGUGAACGAGCUUGUAACCAAAUCCUACUAGCUUGUCAUUAUUCUUCCAGGGGACCUACACAUGCCAAUUGUAUAUAAAGUUGAUCGUCUUCGAGAUGGAAAGAGCUUUGCUACGUGGAGAGUUGAUGCAAUUCAAAAGAAAAAUAUUGUGUUCACUUUGUUGGCUUCAUUUCAAGUAAUUUUUGUUCUUAAAGAUAGUAUUGAAUGGACUUCUCAUGCAACAACAACUGAGACAUGUUCAUUUAACAAAUUCUCUUUUAUAAAUUUAGAGUAUGCUUCAGUUAUUUUCUUAAUAUACAGAAAGAAGAAUUAGGAUUUGACCACCAGGAGGUAGCCAUGCCAUCUGUGCCUCCACUAGACAAGCUUUUGUCAAUGGAGGAGCUGUGGGAGAGACGUCUUACUGACCCUCGUCUUCUAAAGUAAGAUUUUGGAGGAGCCGCGGGAGAGACGCUAAGAAAGUUUCACGCCAAGACUUCGUUUUUCCGCUUCCCAUGACUUCUGUGCAUCUCAUGUAUCUGCAAACACAUUUUCACUCUCAUUUUCUGGUACUUUUUUUUAAAUCUACCUUUUGCUAUGAUUGAUGUCAUAACCUGUAUUGUUCAAUUUUCAUAGAAGUGGUAUCUUCCUUACUAGCAAUCGUUGUGAAGGUUGUACUCUUAUGCAUUCUUGUUGAUUUCCUAUUGCUAAUUUGUAAUUAUGCAAAUCAAAUUUGGAAUUUUUAUGCAUUUUUCUGGUCUGUUUCAUUGCACCAGUUCUAGUCUCUACUCUUAUGGUGGCCAGAGAAGAGCUUGCCACCAUCAACAGUAGUGCAAUUUCCAGAAGCUUCUUCAUUCUGAAUUUUUGAUACACUAUGUGCAAUGGUAAUAACGGGAUUAAUUAUCUUUGAUGAUUUAGAUCAAGAAAAGGCAGUGAAGUCAUAAGUAUUUGAUAGAUUUUUUUGGGAAUUUAAAAUUUCAAAUAAGGGAUCGGAACAAAAGAAUAUAAAGCAGAUAUACAAGAUAUAGUUAGAACAACUAAUAUUAAUUGUGAUGGUUAUUUUGGUUAUCAAUUUUGUUCUUUAUUGUUCUUGACUGUCUAUUAGAACUAUUGUAUUGCAAAUUAAUAGCCAUUGGGCUUUAAUUCUAGACUUAUAUAUUAUUAGUGAUUAUUAUACUUUAAUUCUAGACUUUGGCAUCUAUUAGUACUUAUAUGUGAUUUGUGUUUUAAUCUAUGGUUUAACUUUUGGAUUGACUAAAUUUAUAAUUAAAAUUUUGAUGAGAAAUAAUGUUAAUCUAUUAGUACUUAUAUGUGAUUUGUGUUUUAAUCUAUUAGUACAAUAAUGUUAAUUCUUAUAUAUUGCCUUGUUCAUACUAUGUCAAUUUUGAUUUGAUUCUUUUUGCAAUAAAAUACAGGAUAUGAGGCAGCAAGCCAAUAAAACUAGAGAAGUUACUACACCAAUUAUAGUAAGGUAGCUAGAAGAUAUUUUUAAGUUGAAUGAGACAUUUGCCAAAAUAAAACUAUCUCAUGUUGCUACUGAGGAGCAUGUGAAAGAAGCAAUAAGGCCUUUCACCCUGUCUACAAUGGAUGCUGCUCGGUCUGAAAAAGUUUUAUCUGAUCCUGGCACCGAUGUCUUAUCAAACCAGAAAUCACUUGCUAUUGCCUCACCAAGUGAGCAACAAAAGUACAGGAAACCAUUUUCUGCAGAAGAUUAUGCUAGAGUAUCCACGUCACCAGAAGCAGGAGCAAAUGAGUCUUUAGCAUCAAAAACUAAGUAGGCGAUUUAUUAUUCACCUUUCUAGGAGGAAUUCCCCGACAAUAACGAAGAUUCAGAGCAACCAUCAUGAGGUUGUUGCAGAUUUAGUGCAGACAAGAUUUGUUGCUAGGAGAUCAUCGGUGCUAGUAAUGGACAUUAAUAU